UUGGCGGUGACGAUGUUCAGCAGCAGUCAGUAGAAAACAAGAACGACUGUGGCUGUUACUAUGCUGCUAAUAAAAAAAAUAAAGC